rnacentral:rRNA from 1 species
CUACGGGUCGCUGCAGUGAGGAAUAUUGCACAAUGGGGGGAACCCUGAUGCAGCAACGCCGCGUGGAGGAUGACGCAUUUCGGUGUGUAAACUCCUUUUAUAUGUCAAGAAAAUGACGGUAGCAUAUGAAUAAGCGCCGGCUAACUCCGUGCCAGCAGCCGCGGUAAUACGGAGGGCGCAAGCGUUACUCGGAAUCACUGGGCGUAAAGGACGCGUAGGCGGGUUGAAAAGUCAGGUGUGAAAGCCUACAGCUUAACUGUAGAACUGCACUUGAAACUCUCAAUCUAGAGUAUGGGAGGGGGAGAUGGAAUUAGUGGUGUAGGGGUAAAAUCCGUAGAUAUCACUAGGAAUACCUAAAGCGAAGGCGAUCUCCUGGAACAUUACUGACGCUAAGGCGUGAAAGCGUGGGGAGCAAACAGGAUUAGAUACCCCAGUAGUC